rnacentral:rRNA from 1 species
AUUGAACGCUGGCGGCAUGCUUUACACAUGCAAGUCGAACGGUAACAGGCCGCAAGGUGCUGACGAGUGGCGAACGGGUGAGUAAUGCAUCGGAACGUGCCCAGUCGUGGGGGAUAACUACUCGAAAGAGUAGCUAAUACCGCAUACGAUCUGUGGAUGAAAGCGGGGGACCGUAAGGCCUCGCGCGAUUGGAGCGGCCGAUGUCAGAUUAGGUAGUUGGUGGGGUAAAGGCUCACCAAGCCAACGAUCUGUAGCUGGUCUGAGAGGACGACCAGCCACACUGGGACUGAGACACGGCCCAGACUCCUACGGGAGGCAGCAGUGGGGAAUUCUGGACAAUGGGCGCAAGCCUGAUCCAGCAAUGCCGCGUGCAGGAAGAAGGCCUUCGGGUUGUAAACUGCUUUUGUACGGAACGAAACGGCUCUGGUUAAUACCCGGGGCUAAUGACGGUACCGUAAGAAUAAGCACCGGCUAACUACGUG